GACUCGGUAGCUUAGUUGGUAGAGCGCUCGUCUAGUGUAUAAGAAUUUUGGGUUCGAAUCCCAGCCGAGCA
rnacentral:tRNA from 1 species